rnacentral:rRNA from 1 species
AGCGUACACGGUGGAUGCCCUGGCAGUCAGAGGCGAUGAAGGACGUGCUAAUCUGCGAUAAGCGUCGGUAAGGUGAUAUGAACCGUUAUAACCGGCGAUUUCCGAAUGGGGAAACCCAGUGUGUUUCGACACACUAUCAUUAACUGAAUCCAUAGGUUAAUGAGGCGAACCGGGGGAACUGAAACAUCUAAGUACCCCGAGGAAAAGAAAUCAACCGAGAUUCCCCCAGUAGCGGCGAGCGAACGGGGAGCAGCCCAGAGCCUGAAUCAGUGUGUGUGUUAGUGGAAGCGUCUGGAAAGGCGUGCGAUACAGGGUGACAGCCCCGUACACAAAAAUGCACAUGCUGUGAGCUCGAUGAGUAGGGCGGGACACGUGGUAUCCUGUCUGAAUAUGGGGGGACCAUCCUCCAAGGCUAAAUACUCCUGACUGACCGAUAGUGAACCAGUACCGUGAGGGAAAGGCGAAAAGAACCCCGGCGAGGGGAGUGAAAAAGAACCUGAAACCGUGUACGUACAAGCAGUGGGAGCACGCUUAGGCGUGUGACUGCGUACCUUUUGUAUAAUGGGUCAGCGACUUAUAUUCUGUAGCAAGGUUAACCGAAUAGGGGAGCCGAAGGGAAACCGAGUCUUAACUGGGCGUUAAGUUGCAGGGUAUAGACCCGAAACCCGGUGAUCUAGCCAUGGGCAGGUUGAAGGUUGGGUAACACUAACUGGAGGACCGAACCGACUAAUGUUGAAAAAUUAGCGGAUGACUUGUGGCUGGGGGUGAAAGGCCAAUCAAACCGGGAGAUAGCUGGUUCUCCCCGAAAGCUAUUUAGGUAGCGCCUCGUGAAUUCAUCUCCGGGGGUAGAGCACUGUUUCGGCAAGGGGGUCAUCCCGACUUACCAACCCGAUGCAAACUGCGAAUACCGGAGAAUGUUAUCACGGGAGACACACGGCGGGUGCUAACGUCCGUCGUGAAGAGGGAAACAACCCAGACCGCCAGCUAAGGUCCCAAAGUCAUGGUUAAGUGGGAAACGAUGUGGGAAGGCCCAGACAGCCAGGAUGUUGGCUUAGAAGCAGCCAUCAUUUAAAGAAAGCGUAAUAGCUCACUGGUCGAGUCGGCCUGCGCGGAAGAUGUAACGGGGCUAAACCAUGCACCGAAGCUGCGGCAGCGACGCUGAUGCGUUGUUGGGUAGGGGAGCGUUCUGUAAGCCUGCGAAGGUGUGCUGUGAGGCAUGCUGGAGGUAUCAGAAGUGCGAAUGCUGACAUAAGUAACGAUAAAGCGGGUGAAAAGCCCGCUCGCCGGAAGACCAAGGGUUCCUGUCCAACGUUAAUCGGGGCAGGGUGAGUCGACCCCUAAGGCGAGGCCGAAAGGCGUAGUCGAUGGGAAACAGGUUAAUAUUCCUGUACUUGGUGUUACUGCGAAGGGGGGACGGAGAAGGCUAUGUUGGCCGGGCGACGGUUGUCCCGGUUUAAGCGUGUAGGCUGGUUUUCCAGGCAAAUCCGGAAAAUCAAGGCUGAGGCGUGAUGACGAGGCACUACGGUGCUGAAGCAACAAAUGCCCUGCUUCCAGGAAAAGCCUCUAAGCAUCAGGUAACAUCAAAUCGUACCCCAAACCGACACAGGUGGUCAGGUAGAGAAUACCAAGGCGCUUGAGAGAACUCGGGUGAAGGAACUAGGCAAAAUGGUGCCGUAACUUCGGGAGAAGGCACGCUGAUAUGUAGGUGAAGUCCCUCGCGGAUGGAGCUGAAAUCAGUCGAAGAUACCAGCUGGCUGCAACUGUUUAUUAAAAACACAGCACUGUGCAAACACGAAAGUGGACGUAUACGGUGUGACGCCUGCCCGGUGCCGGAAGGUUAAUUGAUGGGGUUAGCCGCAAGGCGAAGCUCUUGAUCGAAGCCCCGGUAAACGGCGGCCGUAACUAUAACGGUCCUAAGGUAGCGAAAUUCCUUGUCGGGUAAGUUCCGACCUGCACGAAUGGCGUAAUGAUGGCCAGGCUGUCUCCACCCGAGACUCAGUGAAAUUGAACUCGCUGUGAAGAUGCAGUGUACCCGCGGCAAGACGGAAAGACCCCGUGAACCUUUACUAUAGCUUGACACUGAACAUUGAGCCUUGAUGUGUAGGAUAGGUGGGAGGCUUAGAAGUGUGGACGCCAGUCUGCAUGGAGCCGACCUUGAAAUACCACCCUUUAAUGUUUGAUGUUCUAACGUUGACCCGUAAUCCGGGUUGCGGACAGUGUCUGGUGGGUAGUUUGACUGGGGCGGUCUCCUCCUAAAGAGUAACGGAGGAGCACGAAGGUUGGCUAAUCCUGGUCGGACAUCAGGAGGUUAGUGCAAUGGCAUAAGCCAGCUUGACUGCGAGCGUGACGGCGCGAGCAGGUGCGAAAGCAGGUCAUAGUGAUCCGGUGGUUCUGAAUGGAAGGGCCAUCGCUCAACGGAUAAAAGGUACUCCGGGGAUAACAGGCUGAUACCGCCCAAGAGUUCAUAUCGACGGCGGUGUUUGGCACCUCGAUGUCGGCUCAUCACAUCCUGGGGCUGAAGUAGGUCCCAAGGGUAUGGCUGUUCGCCAUUUAAAGUGGUACGCGAGCUGGGUUUAGAACGUCGUGAGACAGUUCGGUCCCUAUCUGCCGUGGGCGCUGGAGAACUGAGGGGGGCUGCUCCUAGUACGAGAGGACCGGAGUGGACGCAUCACUGGUGUUCGGGUUGUCAUGCCAAUGGCACUGCCCGGUAGCUAAAUGCGGAAGAGAUAAGUGCUGAAAGCAUCUAAGCACGAAACUUGCCCCGAGAUGAGUUCUCCCUGACUCCUUGA